rnacentral:rRNA from 1 species
CCUACGGGUGGCAGCAGUGGGGAAUAUUGGACAAUGGGCGCAAGCCUGAUCCAGCCAUGCCGCGUGAGUGAUGAAGGCCUUAGGGUUGUAAAGCUCUUUUGUCCGGGAAGAUAAUGACGGUACCGGAAGAAUAAGCCCCGGCUAACUUCGUGCCAGCAGCCGCGGUAAUACGAAGGGGGCUAGCGUUGCUCGGAAUCACUGGGCGUAAAGCGCACGUAGGCGGAUCUUUAAGUCAGAGGUGAAAUCCCAGGGCUCAACCCUGGAACUGCCUUUGAUACUGGGGAUCUCGAGUCCGGAAGAGGUGAGUGGAACUCCGAGUGUAGAGGUGAAAUUCGUAGAUAUUCGGAAGAACACCAGUGGCGAAGGCGGCUCACUGGUCCGGUACUGACGCUGAGGUGCGAAAGCGUGGGGAGCAAACAGGAUUAGAUACCCCAGUAGUC